UGAGGAAUAUUAGUCAAUGGGGGCAACCCUGAACCAGCCAAGUCGCGUGAAGGAUGAAGGUCUUAUGGAUUGUAAACUUCUUUUACACGGGAAUAAAGCGGGGGACGUGUCCCUCUUUGCAUGUACCGUGUGAAUAAGGAUCGGCUAACUCCGUGCCAGCAGCCGCGGUAAUACGGAGGAUCCGAGCGUUAUCCGGAUUUAUUGGGUUUAAAGGGUGCGCAGGCGGGAUGUUAAGUCGGCGGUGAAAUUUUGCAGCUCAACUGUAAAAGUGCCUUCGAUACUGGCCUUCUUGAGUGUGGAUGAAGUAGGCGGAAUUUGUGGUGUAGCGGUGAAAUGCUUAGAUAUCACGAGGAACUCCGAUUGCGCAGGCAGCUUACUAAGCCACAACUGACGCUCAUGCACGAAGGCGUGGGGAUCAAACA
rnacentral:rRNA from 1 species